UUGGCAGAAGGCUACGCACAAUCAAUGGUAACAGCUUCUGUAAAAUAACAUGGUAGUCAUGAGUUUUCAGUCCACUAACCUUACAACCUUUGAUGUCAACACAUCUUUUUAUAUUGGAGGCAAACCCAUCAGGCAUCUUCACUCCUUCUAGAAAUUUGCAAAAAAUUUCCUUCUCAUCCUUAGAUAAUUUGUACAAUGCUGGUGGCAUAGUA
rnacentral:lncRNA from 1 species